GAUGAACGCUGGCGGCGUGCCUAAUACAUGCAAGUCGAGCGAACAGACGAGGAGCUUGCUCCUCUGACGUUAGCGGCGGACGGGUGAGUAACACGUGGAUAACCUACCUAUAAGACUGGGAUAACUUCGGGAAACCGGAGCUAAUACCGGAUAAUAUAUUGAACCGCAUGGUUCAAUAGUGAAAGACGGUUUUGCUGUCACUUAUAGAUGGAUCCGCGCCGCAUUAGCUAGUUGGUAAGGUAACGGCUUACCAAGGCAACGAUGCGUAGCCGACCUGAGAGGGUGAUCGGCCAAACUGGAAAGGAGACACGGUCCAGACUCCUACGGGAGGCAGCAGUAGGGAAUCUUCCGCAAUGGGCGAAAGCCGGACGGAGCAACGCCGCGUGAGUGAUGAAGGUCUUCGGAUCGUAAAACUCUGUUAUUAGGGAAGAACAAAUGUGUAAGUAACUAUGCACGUCUUGACGGUACCUAAUCAGAAAGCCACGGCUAACUACGUGC
rnacentral:rRNA from 1 species